rnacentral:misc_RNA from 1 species
UCAAACUUGGUCAUUUAGAGGAAGUAAAAGUCGUAACAAGGUUUCCGUAGGUGAACCUGCGGAAGGAUCAUUAUUGAAUAAUCUUGCCUUGAUAGGUUGUAGCUGGCCUCUUGAGGCAUGUGCACGCCUGUCUUGACACUAUUCAUCCACCUGUGCAUUCAUUGUAGUUCUUUGUUUUUGAUAGGUCAAGGAAAGUAAGGCUGUUAAUUCAGUUGAGAUAUACUGGUUUUGAGGAUUGCCUUUUUUUGGCUAUCUUCUGUUCUAGCCUAGUGGAAUUGUGCCUGCCAAUGAUACAAGGGACUAUGUUUUUUAUCAUAAACUAUGUAGUAUGUUGUUGGAAUGUCAUUCAAUAGGCUCUUUAUGCCUUUAACAAUUUAUACAACUUUCAGCAACGGAUCUCUUGGCUCUCGCAUCGAUGAAGAACGCAGC